GUGAAAUGAUGAGCCAGUUUAUCCAUUCUCUGAGCGGCUGUUUUUGUCACAGUCUGUAGCUCCGCCCUCGUUCUGGGGGCGGGGCCUCUCCCCGCUGCAGCGACGGUGUCACUCCGGCGUUCUGCUGGCGGUGACCCGAAGCUGAAGGGAGGGAAGGACGCGACACGGCGGCUGCCGAGACGAUUGUUUGUUCUGAUCAC